rnacentral:tRNA from 1 species
GGAAGGGUGGCAGAGUGGCUUAAUGCGGCGGUCUUGAAAACCGUUGACGUUGCAAGGCGUCCGGGGGUUCAAAUCCCUCCCCUUCCG